GAAAGCUCCUCCUUGUAUCUAUCCUCUUCCUUUCAUCCUUAUAACAUCCCUUCCUAAAACUCAACAAAGUUGUAGGAUAAAUACUCUUUUCGAUUGUUGGAGAUUUCACUCAACAAUGGGUAUCGGAAAGGAGGUUCCAAAUCACAAUAGAUUUUGUUUCCAUAGGAUUUCUCUUUUGAAAGAGACUUCAAGAUUUAACGAGGAAAACUCCUCCUUGGGUCUAUCCUCUUCCUUUCAUCCUUAUAACAUCCCUUCCUAGAACUCAACAAAGUUAUAGGAAAAAAUACUCUUUUCAAUUGUUGGAGAUUUCACUCAACAAUGGGUAUCGGAAAGGAGGUUCCUUUCCUAGAAACGAAACCUUAUUGACAGAACACAAAAUCAUUUGUGUUCCCAGGAAGUAGGGGAGUUAAAAGGACUACUUAAAUCCCUACAACCUUAGGAAUCAUUUCUUUAUAAUACCCAAGUUGAGAACUUCGUGCACAACAAUGUUCCAGAGAACUUAGGGGGAUCUUGGAUCGUGACGGAAUCGUGGAUACCACUUUCUGAAAAGAGUAUUUCGACC
rnacentral:lncRNA from 1 species